UACAGAGGUCUCAAGCGUUGUUCGGAUUCAUUGGGCGUAAAGGGCGCGUAGGCUGCGGGGCAAGUCGGGUGUGAAAUCUCAGAGCUCAACUCUGAAACUGCAUUCGAUACUGCUUUGCUCGAGGACUGGAGAGGAGAUUGGAAUUCACGGUGUAGCAGUGAAAUGCGUAGAUAUCGUGAGGAAGACCAGUGGCGAAGGCGGAUCUCUGGACAGUUCCUGACGCUGAGGCGCGAAGGCCAGGGGAGCAAACGGG
rnacentral:rRNA from 1 species